GAUGAACGCUGGCGGCGUGCCUAAUACAUGCAAGUCGAGCGAACAGACGAGGCGUUUGCUCCUUUGUCGUGAGCCGCGGACGGGUGAGUAACACGUAUGUAACCCCCCUAUCAGAGUGGUAUCACCUCGGGAAACCGGCGCUUAUCCCGGAUAAGAUCCCGAAGCGCGUGGUUCGAUAGUGAAAGACGGCUUUGCUGUCACUACUAGAUGCACAUGCGCUGUAUUAGCUAGUUGGUAAGGUAACGGCUUAUCACGGCGACGAUUCGUAGCCGAACUGAGGGGGGGGUCGCCCGCCUGGGAACGGAAACGCGGUCAAGGCGCCUGCGGGAGGCAGCAGUAGGGAAUCGGACGCAGUAGGCGGGAACCUUGCGGAGCGACGCCGCGUGAGUGAUGACGGUGUUGGGAGCGUAAAGAUGUGUUAUUAGGGGAGAACAGACGUGGAAGGAGAUGUGCACGUCUUGACGGUAACUAGUCAGGAAGCAACGGCUAACUACGUG
rnacentral:rRNA from 1 species